rnacentral:lncRNA from 1 species
GCUUUUUUCUGGAUGCCCCAAACAAUCGGAAAGGGGAUUCAUCAGAGAAAAUGACUUUACCCAAGUCCUCAGCAGUCCAAUCCCUGUACCUUUUGCAGAAUAUCAGUCUGUCCCUGAUGAUUUUUCCUGGAGAGAAGUGGCUUCUUUGCUGCCCUUCUUGAAACCAGGCCAUCCUCCAAAAGUCUUGACCUCACUGUGCGUGCAGAUGCACUCACACCUGCCUGCUGCCAUUCCUGAGCAAGCUCUGUACUGGUGGUGCCCCGAUCCCGGAGCUGAAUCAACUUUAGGAGACAGUCCUGGCGCUUGCUGGACUUUCUUGGGCGCCCUGAAGCCUUCUUCACAACAAUUGAACCGCUCUCCUUGAAGUUCUUGAUGAUCUGAUAAAUGUUUUAUUUAGGUGCAAUCCUACUGGCAGCAACAUCCUUGCCUGUGAAGUCCUUUUUGUGCAAAGCAAUGAUGACGGCACGUGUUUCCUUGCAGGUAACCAUGGUUGACAGAGGAAGAACAAUGAUUCCAAGCACCAUCCUCCUUUUGAAGCUUCCAGUCUGUUAUUCGAACUCAAUCAGCAUGACAGAGUGAUCUCCAGCCUUGUCCUCGUCAACACUCAUACUUGUGUUAACGAGAGAAUCACUGACAUGAUGUCAGCUGGUCCUUUUGUGGCAGAGAUGAAAUGCAGUGGAAAUGUUUUUUUGGGAUUCAGUUCAUUUACAUGGCAAAGAGGGACUUUGCAAUUAAUUGCAAAUCAUCUGAUCACUCUUCAUAACAUUCUGGAGUAUAUGCAAAUUGCCAUCAUACAAACUGAGGCAGCAGACUGAAAAUUAAUAUUUGUGUCAUUCUCAAAACUUUUGGCCACGACUGUACAAUAUCUGCUGGCUGAGUGUGACCCUGUCUGUCCUCCAUCUUUGUUUUGUCUCGUUAUCCAUGGGUGUGUUGUGUUGUUUAUGUGUGCUUCAUGUACGUGCAUACUGCUGUAGUCCACUCCAUGUGUACAUACUGCUGUAGUCCUCUCCAUGUGCAGUCCUCUCCAUGUGUACAUACUGCUGUAGUCCUCUCCAUGUGUGCAUACUGCUGUAGUCCUCUCCAUGUGUGCAUACUGCUGUAGUCCUCUCCAUGUGUGCAUACUGCUGUAGUCCUCUCCAUGUGUACAUACUGCAGUAGUCCUCUCCAUGUGCAGUCCUCUCCAUGUGUACAUACUGCUGUAGUCCUCUCCAUGUGCAGUCCUCUCCAUGUGUACAUACUGCUGUAGUCCUCUCCAUGUGCAGUCCUCUCCAUGUGUACAUACUGCUGUAGUCCUCUCCAUGUGCAGUCCUCUCCAUGUGCAGUCCUCUCCAUGUGCAGUCCUCUCCAUGUGCAGUCCUCUCCAUGUGUACAUACUGCUGUAGUCCUCUCCAUGUGUACAUACUGCAGUAGUCCUCUCCAUGUGUACAUACUGCAGUAGUCCUCUCCAUGUGUACAUACUGCUGUAGUCCUCUCCAUAAAUAUAUAUGUGGUAUACUAUAUGGCUUUAGUCCUCUCCAGAACCAUAUAUACAGCAAACUAUAUGG